rnacentral:rRNA from 1 species
UAUGGAGGGUGCAAGCGUUAUCCGGAUUUACUGGGUUUAAAGGGUGCGUAGGUGGAUAAGUAAGUCAGUGGUGAAAUCUUCAGGCUUAACCUGGAAACUGCCAUUGAUACUAUUUGUCUUGAAUACUUUGGAGGUAAGCGGAAUAUGUCAUGUAGCGGUGAAAUGCUUAGAUAUGACAUAGUACACCAAUUGCGAAGGCAGCUUACUACACAGUAAUUGACACGGAGGCACGAAAGCGUGGGGAUCAAACAGG